rnacentral:rRNA from 1 species
AUGAACGCUGGCGGCGUGCCUAAUCCAUGCAAGUCGAGCGAACGGACGAGAAGCUUGCUUCUCUGAUGUUAGCGGCGGACGGGUGAGUAACACGUGGAUAACCUACCUAUAAGACUGGGAUAACUUCGGGAAACCGGAGCUAAUACCGGAUAAUAUUUUGAACCGCAUGGUUCAAAAGUGAAAGACGGUCUUGCUGUCACUUAUAGAUGGAUCCGCGCUGCAUUAGCUAGUUGGUAAGGUAACGGCUUACCAAGGCAACGAUGCAUAGCCGACCUGAGAGGGUGAUCGGCCACACUGGAACUGAGACACGGUCCAGACUCCUACGGGAGGCAGCAGUAGGGAAUCUUCCGCAAUGGGCGAAAGCCUGACGGAGCAACGCCGCGUGAGUGAUGAAGGUCUUCGGAUCGUAAAACUCUGUUAUUAGGGAAGAACAUAUGUGUAAGUAACUGUGCACAUCUUGACGGUACCUAAUCAGAAAGCCACGGCUAACUGCGUG